rnacentral:ncRNA from 2 species
ACAAUUAAAUCAUGCAACCUUCAUAUAUCCUCGAUAAUAUGGUUCGAAAGUCUCUACCGGAUCGCCGUAAAUGAUCUGACUAUGAAGGCAGAAGAAGCUUUU